rnacentral:rRNA from 1 species
UACGUAGGGUGCAAGCGUUAAUCGGAAUUACUGGGCGUAAAGCGCACGUAGUCGGCUUUGCAAGUCGGUUGUGAAAUCCCCGGGCUCAACCUGGGAACUGCAUCCGAGACUGCAUUGCUAGAGUAUGGGAGAGGGAAGUGGAAUUUCCGGUGUAGCGGUGAAAUGCGUAGAUAUCGGAAGGAACAUCAGUGGCGAAAGCGACUUCCUGGACCAAUACUGACGCUCAUGUGCGAAAGCGUGGGGAGCAAACAGG